UACGAAGGGGGCUAGCGUUGCUCAGAAUCACUGGGCGUAAAGCGCACGUAGGCGGAUUGCUAAGUCAGGGGUGAAAUCCUGGAGCUCAACUCCAGAACUGCCUUUGAUACUGGCGAUCUCGAGUCCGGGAGAGGUGAGUGGAACUGCGAGUGUAGAGGUGAAAUUCGUAGAUAUUCGCAAGAACACCAGUGGCGAAGGCGGCUCACUGGCCCGGUACUGACGCUCAGGCGCGACAGCGUGGGGAUCAAACAGG
rnacentral:rRNA from 1 species